rnacentral:sRNA from 1 species
ACCAAAAAAUAAGUGUAAAGGGUCUUUGAAUUUCUUCCUUUCAUAGUAGGUUAUUACAUUAAUUAAAAUAAUAAAUGUAUUUAAUGGUAUGUGAGAAUAUAAACAUGAUACUGGGUAUCCAUUACAUUUUUAGCCAAUUAAGUCCUGUGAAAAUGCAAUAGGGAUAAAGUUAUUGUAGUGAAGACUAGGUGACAUUAUAUAAGUGAGAAUGUAUAUGUAGAAUGUUACUUGACAUCUUCAAGCUGUUGUUAUAUUAAUGCACUGUUAGAUUGACUUUAUGAAAUAAAACUUU